UGAGAGGAACUGCUCUUCGGUUAUAUAUAUGCUACCAUGUCCUAGACAAGCUUCUAUGUGCAAAAAACAAUGGCCGCUAAGAAGUUCAUCACUUUGGUGGUUCUCUUCAUUUUGAUGCUUCUCUUUACUUCAUCAAAAGUGGAAUCCAGAGUAGUAGCCGAGGCUUCCAAACUUGGUUCCAAGAGUCGGAAACUAGCAAGAGGACCAGUACCUCCGGCGGCUCCAAAUAUUCCAACUCACCCUGCGGGCCCUGGUGAUCGUAAACAUCGUCCGUGAUUGUGAUCCUCGCUCUAUAAGCGCCUUAACGUUCGAGGUGUGUAGCUCAUGAAUAAAAGGAGUGAGGGAUUUCGGCUUCUACCGCUUGCUGUUUUAUUUUUUAUUUUAAUUAUUUAAAUUUGGCAUUGUACUAGUUAUCAGUGAAGCACGGCUAGUCCCGCAUAUGCUUCUUCGAUAAAAAAUAGAAUACAAAAUAAAGGGCUAGUGUCAUUUUGGUAAAUUGGUAAUAUUUUGUGUAUCCACUCCAGGACCUUUGAAAUUAUUUAUGCAUGUGAUGUCCUCUCAGUAUAUAUUACUGAUUAGAAAAGGUACAAGAACACGAAUGAUAUUAUUGACAUUGUUGUAAAGAUGAUUCUCGAU